rnacentral:tRNA from 1 species
GGCUAUGUAGCUCAGUUGGUAGAGCAAGGCGGGACACUGUCUAUUGCCGCUGGUUCAAGUCCAGCCAUAGCAAGCCCGA